UGGGGAAUAUUGGACAAUGGGCGCAAGCCUGAUCCAGCCAUGCCGCGUGAGUGAUGACGGCCUUAGGGUUGUAAAGCUCUUUCACCCACGACGAUAAUGACGGUAGUGGGAGAAGAAGCCCCGGCUAACUUCGUGCCAGCAGCCGCGGUAAUACGAAGGGGGCUAGCGUUGUUCGGCAUUACUGGGCGUAAAGCGUACGUAGGCGGACCGUUAAGUCAGAGGUGAAAUCCCGGAGCUCAACUUCGGAAUUGCCUUUGAUACUGGCGGUCUUGAGUUCGGGAGAGGUGAGUGAAACUGCUAGUGUAGAGGUGAAAUUCGUAGAUAUUAGCAAGAACACCAGUGGCGAAGGCGGCUCACUGGCCCGAUACUGACGCUGAGGUACGAAAGCGUGGGGAGCAAACA
rnacentral:rRNA from 1 species